rnacentral:lncRNA from 1 species
UGGUGGUGGUGGAGGUGGCGAAACAUAAAUUACUGGUGCUGGUGGUGGUGAUGGCGAUGGCGGGGGCUUAUAAUGAGUUGGCGGUGGAGGUGAAGGCAAUGGAGGUGGGGGCGAAUAUUCUACACAUGGUGGCGGUGGAGGGGGAGGUGGUUCUAUACAAGGGGGUGGGGAUGGAGGUGGUGGCAAAUGGACUGGUGGAGGUGGCGGGGGAGAUUGGUAUGGAUAAAUAGGAGGUGGGGGUGAAUGUGGCGGUGGAGGUGGUUCUAUACAAGGGGGUGGGGAUGGAGGUGGUGGUGAAUGGACUGGUGGAGGUGGCGGGGGAGAUUGGUAUGGAUAAAUAGGAGGUGGGGGUGAAUGUGGCGGUGGAGGUGGUGGUGAGCUAUAAAUGUAAGGGUUUGGCGGUGGUGAGGAGUACAGUGGAGGAGGUGGUGGAGGAGAAUUUGGCGGAGGUGGUGGAGGGCGGACACAAUACGGUGGUGGUGGAGAAGAGUAAACAGGAGGGGGCGGGGGUGAUGGUGAUGGAGGAGGAGGCGGAGGCAAGUAUACAGGCGGGGGUGGUGGCGGAGGAGGAGGUGGUGGGGGUGGAGAGUAAACUGGCGGGGGUGGUGAAGGAGGUGGAGGCGGGGGAGAGUAGACUGGCGGAGGUGGCGAAGGAGGUGGGGGUGGUGGAGGAGGAGGUGGCAAGUAUACUGGUGGUGGUGGUGACGGUGGCGGAGGAGGUGGCGAGUAUACUGGUGGCGGCGGUGGUGGUUGCGGUACUACAACUGGUGGUGGUGGUGAAAUAACUGGCGGAGGAGGUGGAGGUGAGGGUGAUGGUGGCGGGGGUGAUUGCGGUAUUACAACUGGUGGUGGUGGUGAGGGCACCGGCAUUGGUGGAGAUGGGGGAGGUGGCGGGGGCAAGGUAGGAACAAAGGGUUUACAUUUAAAUGAAGAACAAUCCACGCGCUUGGACAGGAAUGACUUACAUUGCGCUGAAGACCUCUGUGCUGGCCUUGCUGGCAAGCAAUUCCUCCUGUCAUCAAAAGCUUGUAAGCUCAAGCAAACCGGCGGCUCCCCGGUGAAGAAAUUGUACGAGAAUGUGAAGUUCUGCAAGUUAGGCAGCCGACAAAUGCUCGCCGGGAUUGUGCCAGAGAGCAUGUUGUGAGCCACAUUGAGCUGUUCCAAGCUCACCAUUCUUCCAAUCGUGUCCGGCAAAGGACCCAGAAGCUGAUUGAAGCUCACAUCAAAUACAGUCACGUUCUUGAGCAUCCCAAUCUCCGGAGGCAAGCAAGACCUCAGCCCAUUAUUCAGUAGAAUAAUUUCGUUGAGUCUCGACAUGUUACCAAGACUCGAAGGCACACAGCCAUGGAAUUUGUUGUUGGCCAGGACAAUAACUGAGACGGGGGAGUUACCAAAGUUGUCUGGGAUUUCAAAUCUGAAGCGAUUGUUGUUGAUAAAGAUAGCAUCUAAAUCUUUGUCAAACAGCUCUCUAGGCACAGUGCCUUCAAAUUCGUUAUAUCUCAGAUCCAAGAACUUGAGUUGAGGCAACCUGAGAAGUACCUUUGGGAACUUACCAGCAAACCUGUUGUUGCUAAGAUCCAGCUCGAACAGCAGCUUGAGGUUCUCAAACUUGUGAGGAACAGUGCCACAAAACCGAUUUGAAUUUAUGUGAAACAAUGCAAGAUCAGUUAACAAGCCAAGCUCUUCAGGCAAGUACCCAGCGAUAUCACCGUGGUUCAAAUCAAUGCCGGCGACGGUUCUGAUCCUCUUGUUAUCAGGAGCAGAAGCACAGAAGACGCAAGUGUAGUUGCAGACAGCAGAUCCAACCCAAUCCCCAGUCAAAUUGUAAGGAUCAGAAAGAAUAGCUUGCUUCCAAGCUUGUAAUGCUAUGUAAGCAUUUCUGAUUCUUGGGUUUUCAAAAACAAGGGAUGGGUCUACAGUAACAUUCUCUCCUCUGUCUCCAAACUCGUCCCUGUAGUAAAGCAGCUGCCGCUGCCUGAUGUAGUGAGCUUCAGCAUCAGUGAGGCCACCAUGGCCGGCAAUGGGAACCACCUCAGCAGCAGCAGAGCCAAAGGAGCAGCACAAGACUGUGCUAAGGAAGAAGAAGACAAUGAGAAGUGAGAGAUGACGGCUGAUAUGGGUCUUCUUCUUCAUCUCACAUGAGACAUCUGAUUUGCCAAAUGCCACUUUCUUUUCUCUUUUUUAAGCUGCUCUUCCUUUUUUUUCUUCUCUCUCUUUCCAAGCUCAGAUUGCAAAUGGGAAUUGCUGAAUAAUUUUUGUUCGCCUUGAGAUCUGAGGCAAAUAUGGAGAAAGAGAGAGAGUGUGUGUGUGGGAUUUUAAGAUUUAGUUUUCCGCUUUGGCUCUCUACGCUUGGUGUUUGAGACUUGAGUUGAGAGGGGUUAGAGAGAGAGAGAGAGAUGGGUCUUUUCUAGGUAUUUUGGAGAUAUGUGUGAACAGAAAGGGGAGUGUAUGUGGGUGUGAGAAGUAAUACAAUCAAGAGACAGCUAAAUCACAGCUCAAAACCCACCAGAUUCUCUCUCCUUCUAACACUCUUUCUCUCUCUCUCUCUCUCUUUACAUAUAUAUAUAUAUAUUUUUUUUUUUUCCUACAUUACAUUAUUUAAUUUUAACCUUUUUUUUUUGUUUUACUUUAUUCUUUCUGAAUCCCAUUCCCAAUCAACCGAAGAAGUUGAAGUUUGGAAUAUUGAAUAAUAGCCCAAAAAAGCAUUAUUACAAUUUAAUCAAUUAAUAAUGAAUUGGUACAAAUAAUUGUUGUCAUUUCCUUAAAUUAUGCAGAAGUCAAUAAAACUUAUAAUGCAAAGCUGUUAAGAAGGGGUCGGUGGACGAUUCUUAAUCCCGGCGACUAUUGACCUGGAAAAAAUGGUCCGGCCAGCUUUCUUUUUUUUUUUUUUUAAUUUCCCCUUUAACUUUCCUUUUGGGAAUUUUUUUUUUUUCCAAACGGUAAUUACCAAUUGGUUGAUAUCACGAGACUAUUUAUGAGACAAAGUAUCACGAGAUUUUGGUACAGUAGUGGUGGUGGACCUAAGCCAGUGGGACAAAGGCAUGAAUCCACUUUUUAAGCCGGGUGGUGGAGUUUUUUUUGUUUGUAUAGGAGGUGCUUUGUCAAGUCAGAUAACUCCGUGGGAGUAAAAAGAACUGCUAGUAACGUUAGGCUAAAAUGACAUUAUUGGCCCUAUUCGUUAUCACUCACUGCACUGCCACGACUCAAUGAGCCAGAGCUACUGUUUUGUGGGCCUUUAAUGCCAAAUUUUUUUAUGUUCACCACUUUCACCUUUUGAGCGCAAUUUUCAGUUGGCCUCACACCAGAUUCUUGUCCUUUUUACUUGCUUUAAAUUAAAUGGCCACACUUCGGCUUCAAUUUCCAUGCCUAGCAAUGGACCAUGCCAAGUUCUUAAUAAUGAUGGCAAUUUAGGAAAGAAAGAUCGCAUUUCAAAUUAACUGGCGCGUCUUUUCUUUUAUUUGUAACGUGAGAGUAAUCAAAUUUUAUUAUUAUUCACAUGAGCGGUUUUCUAAUUUCAUAAUCUUUCCCCUAUCAUAAAAGAUUUUAUAUAGUUGAACCAACUAUUCUAUAUAACUUAAACGAGAGAAUAAUGUUAUAUUUCUCAGAUAUUAUAUCAAAAUAUUCAUUAUUUGAUGUUAAAAUUAUACAAUAUAUAAGAAUAUAAAGUGUAGAUAUAUCAAUCGCUGGAUGAAUGUUAGAGCAUCUCCAAAAGGCUCUAUAAAUUUUACUCUUCAAAUAUUUAUUUGUUUACUUAUGUGGUAAAUAGAAGAGUAAAAAAAUAUAUUAUUCUCCAAAAGACUCUUCAAAUAAAAAUGAGUUAAUAUUAUUUUAAUUAGAUAACUAUUUUUUUAAAUAAAAAGUCAAUAGAAAUUAAAUCAUCUCUCUCUCUUUCUCCAACAAAAAGUAAUAAAAUAAAAUUUAAAGAGAGAAAAAGUAACUCUCUAAAUUUAAAGAGAGAUUAUCAUUUCUUAUUUGAACAAUCUUAAUUGAAGUGUCUUUUGGAGCCUUAAUUGCUAAUGUGGCUCUUCAAAUAAGUAAUAAAAUCUUAUUUUAAGAGUUUUUUGGUGAUGCUCUGAUAUCUUCUUACACCUUAUACGAGAUAAAUAUUUUAGGAUGACAUUUGAGAUACAUACCAUUGCUCUUAAUAAUGCAGGAGACCCAGGUUCUCUUUAUAUAAUUAUUACUUGUCUUUCAUAAGUAAUUGUGAUGAAGUUUUUUUUUCUUUUAAGCAUAGCUCAACUGAUCAUAAUUGUAUUUUUAUGUCCACAGUCAUUUAAGUUCGAGUAAAAUUAAGGUUAAAGGAUUUGUAUUUAUUAGGUGAUUUUUUUUUCAAUCUUAAUCCAAAUAUUUAGAGAAAAAAAAAUUUGCGAUGAAGUUUUCUCAUUCUAUGGCAAAUAAGAAAACUUAUUUUAUGUUCUAAUAAUUAAAAAAUAGAAAAAAAAUUUGUCCAAACUAAGAUCGCUAAGAAAAUAACAACGGAGGAGUAGGUAGCCUGUGGUAACACCUCUUUGUUAUAUAUAUAUAAUGAAUUGUUCGUAACGUUAAAAGCAUCAAGCUAAGAAUAAUGAUAAAGAACAUUCAUGCUUACGUAACACCAAUCGCAAGUCGUUCUUUCCUUCGGCAUGAUUCACUUUGCUUGCUACCCUUCUUUUUUUUUUUUAAUUUUUUUUUUUAGUAGUUUGCUUUUGCGAUUUGUGUGUGUUUCUGUUAUUAAUUUUUUCUGCUCUAUUUAUUUAUGAGAACAAGAGGACAAUUUGGUAAUUAAAUAAUGAGCAGAUAAGACACGUUAAAGUAAUCACCAAAUUUAAGAGUUGCGGUUAGCCGGUUACUUCCAUAAAUCGCUGAAACAAACCGCAUUUUAUGGGAGCCCUAUGUUACAUUUACAUUAAAUGUAUCAUACAUAAUUCAUAAUAACCACAUAAAUUAUGAGAUCUAUAUAAUUAUAUGGUUCUUGUUGAUUGUGUAUGGUACAUUUAAUAUAACAUAAUAAAAUCCGCAUUUUAUAUAUAACCAGUGAAGAUGUAAGUAUGCAUGCAUGCUACGCGUCCACAUCACCACCCUGAUCUUCAUCAUCAUAAUGUUUGAUUUUCAGAAUUUGUCAUGUGAUAAUAACAAGUGGACCCCUCUUUUGAUAAGAUUAUCAAGUGAGGAGGAUAUAAUCUAAUCGAUUUGCUGAAACAUGUCUGUGGCCACUUCCGAAAUUACUGAAACACACUUGGCUGUGCCGUUUACAUCGUCGAUUAAAGUUCAAUAUUUUUGGGGGUAAUUUAGUCAUUUUAAGACUUAUUGGAUACCAAUGGAAAAACUCUGUUCUUUUUUGAGAAAUUGUAAACGAGUAAGGACCAUAAUGUAAUUACCUCUUUUUAUUAGAAUUCGGCUAUUAAAUAACAGAACUCUAAAUUCGUUUUCACAAAAGCUCGUUCCAACUUGCAAAUGCCGUUUGCGAGCGCGGGGGAAGAGUGGGUCCGGGAGCCAGUAGUCACAUAUCAAAGUGUCCUGACGCAAAAGAAAACGACAUCAAAGCAAAGUGAUUCUGGCCAGGGGGCCCACGUGUCACGUCCUGCUCGGCUGGAUCGUCGGCGCCAAAGAGGGUCCCGCUCGCGUGAGGUGUGCACGGCGUCCCGCAGAACGCGUCAACGCUCUACACAUCAUCGAUAACAACUGGGAAUUUCACUAAAAUGCCCCUUCGGGAUUAAUGAACUGUGAAGCACAAUUAACGCGCUUUCGCAUACCUUAUGAUUGGCUUGGGGUGACGUUGAUGGAAGUCUCCAGUUUAGAAUGCAUGUGCCGCGCUCCGUUGGAUACGAUUUUCGACUUCUUAUUUGCCCAGCUAAUAAUAUGCGGGGGAACUUUUUGUCUUUUUAAUUUGUGGAAAAUAAAAGAAUUGAGAGAUUAAGCAGACUUUUAUUGACAUUUUUUUUUCUCUGAAACAACAAUUCUUAUUGACACUGACAAUCGCACAAUGCCAGGCAUAUUUCGAAAAUUCCUUUGUCACAUUAUUCUUUAUUCUAUUAUUUUAAUAUUAUAUUAUAUUUUAUUAACAUUGUAUUAUAGUAAUAUUAUACAAUAUUUAGUGUUAUAUUAUAUUGUAUUAAUUUUUUGUAAUUAAUUUAAAUUAUAAAUUUAGAAAAUAAUAUCUAUAUUAGUUAGCUUAAAUUAUUAUUUAAGUAUUUAUCAUUAGUUAUGUUAAAUUGUUAAAUAAUAAUUAAUUUUAUAUAUUAAUUACUAUAGUAUAAUUAAAUAAUGUUAUAUUAUGUUAUAUUUUAUUUUUAUAUAUUAUUUAUAUUAACUUAUUAAAUAUUAAUCAAUUUUAUAUAUUAAUUAUUAUAAUAUAAUUAAAUAAUACAUUAUUUAGUUAUUUUUUGUAUAAUAAAAUUAAAAUAUAAAAUAUAAAUUUAUAUUAAUAUAUUAAUAAUUAUAAUGCAAAAAUAAAAAAAUGAAAAUUAAUUUUAUAUAACACUCUAUUAAAUUAAAAAAGUUAUAUUUAUUUAUUAUUAAUUAAAAAACAAAAAAAAAAAACACUAAUGCGGCAUUUUUAUCACAGCCCCUUAAUCCAUUAGCAUUUCCUUCCAAACAUAGCAUAGUAUUAAUUUAAUCAAAAACAAUGUUUUAAUGCUAUGCAAUGUUGUCUUCUAAACGCAUCUUAUAUUUAUGCCUUCAAAAAUCGUUUUCAAAUUCUUACAAUAUAAUAAGGUUAGUUACUACAAUUAAUAAAAAGCUACGAAUUUCAAAUUUAAAUUCUUCUUUUUCUUUUUUAAUGAGCAAAUUUAAAUUCUUUAAUCGUGAGGUCAUUUGUCAAUUAAGUUCAAAGUAAGAUAUCUCUCCCUUAGAGGCAAUUAUUUUAAUUUAAUUAAGGGAUGGGUAUCUCACAUCAAGUUUAAAAUUUGAAAAAAAAAUGAUGCCUUUUGAUGAUUGGAUGAGAGGUUUGUAGAUUUUGAAAUCUUCAACAUGUGGUCAAAGGGAGGACAAAAGUGCUCUCCUCCAGCUUUAUAUAUUGCCAAAGAAAUGAUGAAAAUAUUUAACACAUUUUGCGAUAAAUAGCUUUUUUACUAUUUUUUCCUUCAUUCUAUUUCAUACACUUCAUGUAAUUCGUGAAUUAAAAUUUUAAAAUAAAUGAAAUUUCUAUUUCUAAAGGAAGAAUUGAUUGUUUGACCUGUUCUUUUUAUUACAAGAAGCCUAAUUAGUAGACUAUUACUUUAGUUUGUGACUAGAGAUAAAAAUUCAUACAAUCGUCUCACAAUAAAUUUAACUAAAUAUGGAUAUGACACGUUUAAUAAUCGUAUCAUAAAAUUAGAACACGAACAUGAUGCGUUUAAUAAACAGAUAAAGCAACACGAUACAUUUAAUGCUAUUGCACGAUUACGAUAAAAAGAUGAACAACCCGAUUACCAAGAGAAAUACUACCAUAAGAUAAUAAAAUGAUAAAAAUAUAAAAAUUUAAUUGUACAAACAAACAAUCAUAAAAGUUAAAUCGUUUGAACACAAUAAUUAAUAAUUAAUAACUUAUACAAUAUAAAAAAAUGAAAUUAAAAAAUUAAUAUUUGUAUCAUAAAUGUGUAAUGGUAUUGAAGUGGUCCAACAUAUAUAUGACUUGGUUGUUCAUCAUGUUGUUUCAAUUCAUUUAUUAAUCAUAUCAACAUUUAUCAACAUAAAAAUGAAAUAAUCGUAUCGUUUCCGUGUAUUGACCAGCAUUGUUAUUUUUAUUUGGGAUAAUUUUUUACUAUUUUGUACUAUACUAUCGUUAUUAUAUUAUUUAUCGAUUAUAUUACAAAAUUUGUGGGGGCUAUAAUAAAACAUCACUAUAUCAUGCGUAAAAAAAAUUCACCAUAUGUUCGAAUUUGAAAAUUAAUAGUAUAUUUUCAGAUUUAUAAUGAGGUUUAAAUGGAAUGUAAAUAGUUUAAUUUGUCUCAUCAUCAUACAUAUUUGGGGAGAAAACUAUGGUGCAACGGUGAUACGGUAUCACCGUUGCACCCAGCCGUUGGAUCCCACUGGAUCCAUUCAUCUAAAUAGAUCCAACGGCUGAAUGCAACGGUAAUACCGUAUCACCGUUGCACCGUAAUCGGACCCCAUAUUUGGACCGUGUUAUUACAAAAUUGAUGACGAUCUAAUUUUGGAUAAUAAAACUCGCAUAUCUCAAUAUUACAUGUGAAUUCUCCAAUUUUUACUUUUUCUUUUCAUUUACGCAUUUAUCUAAAUUUUUAUGAACCAAUUUUCGUCAAAAGUAGACUUUUAGAUAUUAUAAGGAAACAAUUUAGGUUCUCACGUAGCUCCAAACCAGCUGGAGGCAUUUCUUCCAUAAACAAACGCCACUUGUUUUUUAAGUGGCUGGAGUAAGCCUUCGUGGGACCCUCCAUCCACGUAGGACAGAAACAAUUGAGGCCAGCCGGCAAAGCCAGCUGUAACGACUGGUCGCGACACGUGGAAGCCGGAGCGCAUACACGUGGUCAUGAUUUUUUUGGUUUUUUUUUUUUUACCUACGUGGCCAUGGACUCGUUCUUCUGGUGGUGGGGAAAUCCAAAGUGAAGCUUCUAAAAAUGCUAACUGCGUUAAAGUCAAAAGAGAUUAACAGGUGGUUACGCGGAUCAUGGGUAAACCAACACGUAACACCGAGCUAAAGCCACUAGAAGCCUGCAAUUUUUCGUUUUUUAAGAUAAGCCUAAAAUAAAAUGAAGCAAGAGCACCAAGAAGAAGCCUACAAACUACAAAGUACGUAUAAAGUUAUUACAAAAAUUACUAUAUUAACGUUGAACCGGUCAUUGUCUCUUCUAUAAGCUCGAGUUUGCUUUCACAUUUGAAUCCUUUUAUCAUUUUAUGCUCUCGGAUUUCAAAAGUCUAGAUGCUUUAAUUUUUUUUUGGAUUUCCUUUCUAAUUUAACUAUUUUCAUUUGGGGUUCCGGAUAGAGGGAUAUUGUAAAUUAUUGUAGUGAGUCAACAAUUGAAAAUUAAUAUAAAUAAAUAGUAAGAAAACUGCAGUUAAUCGUUGAAGUAGUAAUAAAAUAAACAAUUGAAAAGAAAAUGAAAAACAGAAAGUAUAAGAAAAAACCUGAGGCAUGUUAAGUAACAAUGUCCUUAAAACAGAUUUACCGCAUACUACUGUACUUUUAAGUUCGUUGGUAUCUGUUUCUCAUGAUAUAACGAGAACGAAUUAUUCACCAAGCACACAUAAAUAAUUUCAGCCAACAACAACAAUGUAGAAUUUCGAUUAAAACAGAAGGUCAGAGGAGGGAUAAUUUUUUUUUUUAAGUGCUCUGUGUGUUUGUUGUUUGUAAAAUAGAAGAGGAAGACUGUUUUUUUUUUUAUAUACAUGAGGGUAUAUAACUGUUGAAUAAUAAAAUUGAAUAUUUGUAGGUUGCAUUUUUUUUUUUUAUCUAAAAUCUGAAUAGGUCUGAAUGAAAAUGUCUGAAUGAUAUGUUUAUUUUUUCUUUUUCAAAAUCUAAAGAGAAAAACUUAAAAACUAAUAGUUUGACAUAAAUAUUCUUUUAAGAGGUGCAUAUAUUUGUUCUUCACAAUUUAUAAUUUUUAUAAGUUGAUUAGUUUGUUAGCAUUAAAAAAAAAUGUUAUCAUUGUUGAUCUUAAUUUAAUUUUUUAAUAAAAUAUGUAAUUAUAACAUCAAAUUUUAUUAUAAAGUCAACACUGUUAUUUUAUUUUUUGAUUCAUAUCAAUGGAUAUAAUUUGAUUUGUUCAAUAUUUCGGUUUUGUUAAUGUUAUCAUGUGAAUAAAAAUUUAAAGCAAUUAAAAAAAAUAACUUCAAGAAUAAAUCAAAAAUAUUAGGUUUAUACAUAAUAUUGAAAAUACAUGAAUUGUUAAGGGUAUUUUUAAAUUUUAAAAUUAAAAUUUUUCAUUUAAACUUCAUACUUCAAAUAAAAGUGAAUUUUUUCUAUUUUUUCUAUUAAGAUAUAAUUAUCUGACAAUAAGUGAUAAGUUAAAAAUAAUAAUCUAAAAUAAAUAAAUAAAUUUAUACUUUAGACUAAAAAACAAAUAACACAUUAAUUUACUUCUGUAACAGCCUCAUUAAAUUAAAAAAAAUCAAUUAUGUAACACUGAAAAAAUAAUACGUUGAAUAAGAAAAAUAAUGGCGUGCUUUUGGAUUAAAUUUGGGAAAUUUACAAAAAUAACCAUAAACAUUUUGGUUUAUUUCAUCUUAACCCCCCAAACAAAUUUCUAUCAACAUUAGCCAUAAAAGACCCUUUGAGUCCAAAACACCCCUCUCCCUCAUCUCUCCCAAACCAAACAAACACCCAUCAUCGGCGGCAACAUCAGCCCUCGUCGGCGGUGACUCCAUCCCUCAUCGGCGUCCGAUCUACCAUCUACAGCCUUCACCAAACUUAGGUUAGCCAUUUAACUUAUUUUCAUUAAUUUAAAAUGAAAAUUUAGAUUAAUAAUGGUUGUAGUUUGAGAAUAAUAGUGGUGGUGGUUGUGGUGUUUGUGAUGAUUGUUAUUGUUUUGGGAGUAUAUUGAAUUGGAAAAUGAUUUGGGGAAUUUGGGGGGGGGGGGGCAGCGCGCGCGCGGCUCGCUGCCGCACUAAAAAUUACAGUGGUAUUUUUUUUUUUACAAGUCAAUUUUUUUUGUUUUUGUUAUAAAUGUAAUGUAAUAAUUUUAUAAAUAUUACAGAUACAUGGCGAAAUCAGAAUCAUCGGAUAUCGAAGUAGGCAAGAUGUAUUUUGGUUAUGCCGAUCACUUUCCUGGUCGAAUUUCGAGCAUGUGUAAGUUAUCUUCGGUCGUAAAAGUUAUCGAGGAAAAAUUAACAAAGCGGCAGUUGAAUAUGUUCAAGAAGGAUAUAUUUGGGCAUUUCUUGGAGUGUCGAAGUUUUUCAUUUAGUGGGGUAAUUUUGCACAAUCUUUUACUGAGGCAAGUGGCCCAUGAAGAAGAUAGCUGUGAGGAUCAGUUAUGGUUUCAAAUUGGUGAGCAUUUGAUUCGCUUGUCAAUUGUAGAAUGGUGCCUGGUUACUGGACUUUUAUAUGGUGUUGAUAUCGAACUAUCAGAUGACAAAAAAAUGGAUAGGCUACGGAAAACGUAUUUUGGUGGUGUGCAUAGCAAGAUCAAUGUUAAGGAAUUCGAUGCAUUAUUUAAGGAGUUGAAAUUCGAGAAAAUUGACGAUAUGGACGCAUUAAAGAUUGCGCUCUUUUAUUUUGCGGACAGAGUACUAAAUGCAAGAAAAAAUCACUGUCAAAUCAAUUUCGAUUGGCUUAACGAAGUUGAUGAUAUACAGUACUUCUGAAACCGUCCAUGGGGUUUUGUGUCGUGGGAAAUGGUAUACGAUAGUCUUGAUGAUGCACUGUUCGAGAAAGAUGAAAAAUUUAAGACGACUCGGUUGAAAAACCCAGAUCAUAAUAUUGAGAAGUACAAUCUUUACGGCUUUACGUCCGGGGUUCAGGUGCGUUGUUUUUUUGUUUAUUAAUAAGUUUUAUAGUAUUAAAUAUUUGAUAGAUGUGUUUAUAGGUUUUUCACUUUGGUUGUUACAGGCUUGGAUUUACGAAGCGAUCGGAGGUUUGCCGUCAACAUGGGUCGUGAAAACGAAGAACAAGAUUCCCCGCAUCGUGCAAUGGAAGCCCAUAGCGUCUUCGAGAAUCAAUUUUGCUGAGGUUUAUUUGUUCUUUAACAACGAAUCUCGUCUUAUAAGUAAUAUGUAUUAGUUAUUUUUUUAACUUUACUAAAUUUAAGUUAUGUAUACUUACUUAAAAUUUUGAAUUGAAUUUAUGGCAGGGGGACAUUUUACAAACUCUUGAGCCAAAUUCAAAGGAGAGUAGCAAAAAAUAUUGGCUCACUGUGAAGGAUUACAUGCCAAGCAUUCCAGACUGGGUUCAUAAGGUCGGUUAUAAAUCUAAUUACUAUAAAUUAUAUUUAAUCGAAAUUUUUGACUUUUCAUUUAUUAAUUUUAAAUGAUACUUGAUACAACACCAACCUUCAAUCAAUGCGAUGUCGUCGGUUUCAAGGCAAUCAGACGAGCAUGACGACAUACCAAACCCAACACCAGAGCAGCGUCAUGACACUUCUGAGGAUGAGGUGGCUGUUGAUGACCACCUGGAGCAGACACAUGCCGACUCUGAUGACGCACAUGAUUCUGAGGUUAUAAAUAAUAUACGAUAUUCUUGUUUUAUUAAUCAUUAUUGUUUUACUGUUAUUCUAAAGAUUUACUUAUUUUCUUUUGUAAUAGUCGAGGACAAAGCAGUUUAAUGAUUACGUGCGAUGAUGGCUGGAUAAGAUUGAUCGUAACGUGUAUGAAUUGAAGUCGGAAUUAAAAAAAUUUAAAGAAACCGUGGUUGGCUUUAUCGACACAUUUUCUACACGUCCAAAUAAAAAUUCUCCCACUGGAAGCUCGUAUGCGGUGAGUAUAAUUAAAUUUAAUAAUUAUGUUCGUUUAACUUUUAAUUUAAUAGUUGUUUAAUAUGUUCAUCUUGGCGAAUGGACAGGGCCCGGAUGACUAUGGAGUGUAUAUUGACGUGGGCAAUCAAAAUUUGUCUACACCCACGUCAUUGUAUAGUUUCUACGGGGAUGUUAGUGGGGAGAGCGUGCAGGUGUUCUCUAAGGUGCCUCCGGGCGUUAGUAAGUUCGGCCACGCGUACAUACCGUCGUAUGUUUAUAACAGUCCUUACAUGAUUCCUCCACUUAGGCGAGGAAAGAACGCCCGGCCUAUACCUCGACCCCAAAUCAUGGACCAUGCCUAAGACAUGAAUACGAGUGUAGAUAUAAAUCCACUGAGAGGAUUGGAGGAUUCUAGUCUGUUUGUUGAGUUUGAUCGAUGGUUCGCUGGUGAUAUGACAGUGGUUCGGAGAGUCCAGCACCCGCGGUCAUUCUUUCAAAUACUUUUGGGUUUAACUUCGAUGGGAUGGCUAGGCGAUGAGGUAAGUAUAUUUUCGAAGUUCUUUGAGUGUUGUGGAUUUGUGUAUAAAUUUUAUCUUUUAAAUCGUAAUGUUUCUGUUUCUCUAAAGCAUAUUCACGAGUGUCUCCGCUUGAUUAGCGAGAAAUAACGGCAGUAUCUGAAUGCCUUAGUUCAACGUGUCGCACAUACUGACACAUUUUUUUGGGUAACGUGCCGACAAAACUUAUAAUUACUAUUUAUAUUUUUUUUAAUUUUUGCCUUUAAGUUUUGUUAAUUUAUGCAUUUCUUGGUUAUCCAUGUACUAGGUGUUCUCGAAUCAGUUAUGGAACAACGGGGAUUGUGCGGUCGAUUCAUUAAUAUUCGACGACUGCUUGAAUAGUUAUCUUUGUGGGCGACAGCACACAAUAUCCAAAUCAAUAACGGAUGUUGAUAUGGUAUGUAUUUUAUUGCAUUUCACAUACUCCAUAAUGAAAAUAUCCAAGUUGUCGUUUUUUCUUGGUGUUAUUUCAAUUUCAUAUAUAACGAACAUGUUUUUCAAUUAUUAUAUACAGUUACUCAUCCAUGUGAACUUGGACGGCACGCAUUGGGUAGUAGCAUGAGUUGACUUUCGGAAAAAUAAAGUCUGGAUUUAUGACUCAUUACUCACAUUUCGCGACGACAAAAGGUACAAGUUGAAAUUCAAGCCACUUGAAGUUAUAUUCCCUCGAUAGUUGGAAUAUGUUGGCUUUUACAACAUCCGACCUGAGUUGCGGAGGUGAGUGAUUGUACCCUCAUUCGUUGUAGUUAGUACGUGAGAGUAUUUAGGGAGCAAGUUGUAUGGCUCUGCAGGGUUGCCUCGAACUAUUUUAAGACCAACUUCUCUCGGCCGAUAUGCCUGCUGGUAUGUUAACUGAACACCGUAUUCCUGUUGCAUAUCUGCUCUUAUGUCAUUCGGAGUAUAAAUUCUCUUGUCUUGAAUAUAUUUUUCUGCGAUAAUAUGACCGACAACCCAGCUCCUUACUUGAUGACGUCCACCCAAGGAACAUUUUGCUGGUUCGAACUUCUAGUUACUCGAAUACGCCAUUUACAUGAUUCCGAACAACAGUGAGCCUCGAAACGUGUCGUUGUAGACCGUGCAAUCUUGAAAUCAAACUUAUCCCUAAAGGCAACCUUACGUAGUUGUAAUAUAAACUCAUUCUUCUCAGCAAAUAGCUUACCCACAUUGAUAUCAUUUGAGUCACAACUGUUAACAAAGCUUGGAGCAACCAUGUUCGAAGGCAAAGUUGGAGCAAGACUUGUGAGGGGGUCAAUUCUCCUUCUCAAUCGAACCAUAGAAGGAAUAGGUCUAUUGCCUCUCUUAUUCAUAGGAGUAUUUUCUUCACACUGAUCGUCAUGCUGAAACGACGGAACAUUCGAAGGACCGGCUCCUCCAUCAUCACCAUCAUUAUUGAAAUGAGUGCCCCUCAUAUUAUUAGAAGGUUCUGCACAAACAUUAUCCCCCUCUGUCUCAUCAUGAAAAUCAUCAUUGUCCCGAAAAUCAUUGUUGUGAUACGAAGAAUACCGUUGCUCCAACGACGUCGUUAUUGGAAAUACCGUUGCUCCAACAUCCUGCAACGUAACGCCGUUAUCAUCAAUGUUGUCAUAAUUGUCGUGGAUUGGAGAGUAAUAUUGCUGCAGCGAUAUUGUCCUUGGCAACACCUCUUCUUCAUUAUCGGGGCCAGACAUAUUUGCUCUAAACGAAAUUUUUGUAUCGACAUGUGGCUCAAUACCUUCAUUCGGAACUCGAGGUGAUGUGGUCACGAAUAUAGAAAUGCAUCCAAAAUUGGCUACGUUGGAUGUCAUAUGUAACACAACUCUCACCAUUUCAUCAUCAAAUAUAUCCAUAGGCAGUGCACAUACACGAUAUAAUGUGUUACUAGACCUCAAAGUUGUUUUCAUUGUGAUACUAUAUUCAUUAGGGUUAAUUUGUAACACAUCGUAUCCUCUUGCCAAUAACUGAUCAAAUAGACAAUUUUUUCCAACCAAAAAAGCUCUAUUUUUACCAUUGACAUACUCUAUACGCCCAUCCUCUAAUGUCUCCCACCAACCAUCGUAACACAAUUCAAGUACAACUGAAUCCAUUAAGCUUGAAAUUAUAAAAAAAAUAAAUUAUUUGAGCCCUAUCAAAUUAAUAGUUAAUUGCAAUGAAUGUGGCUUUUCGUGCGACAGGCUGACUGUCGCAUGAAACUUAGUGCGAUAGGCUGACUGUCGCUCCAAGUUUUGGUGCGACAGGCACCCUGUCGCCAGAUUCACCCAUGAAACCACGAUUCGCAAUUCACUCAAACUUUCGAGCAAGUUCAGAAAAUAACUUAUACCAAUAUGUGAUGACGAUUAGUAUUGGAUCCGGAUAAAUUAUGAUCGGAUUUCACUUUUUAUCGUUGCCUUUGCCGUUGUCGUUGGUUGAUGAUUCAAGAGUGAGAAGCUGCCUUUGGUUUGACGAAAGGGGAGAAAGAAAGUUACUUUUAAUUUGUAAAGAAGGGUAAUUUGGGAAGAAAAGUGUGUAUUUGACUAAUGUUGAUAGAAAAAAAUUAAGAGAAUUAAUUGUGAAAAUAACAAAAGUUUUAUAAUUAUUAGUGUAAAUUUCCCAUUAAAUUUUGUAAUGGUAGCAACAUUGCGGGAAUUACGGAUUCAAAUUACCCGUUAUUGACGAAUGACGACUCAUGCACGGUUUUCUCGUUACCUUUCGUCGGCAGCUUAUUUAUUAUCUUCUUUUUUUUUUUCUUGUAAUUUUUUUAAAAAGUUUUUGGUGGGAGCUCUUAAUUUGUGGGUCCCAAAGUCCACGCGGGUCAAGAACCGUAAUGAAGGAAAAUCAUACGACCCGCCAUAGGGGCCCACGCAGUUCAAUUGGUUCAUGACAUGCUCUGUUGCGGUGACGUGUGUGUUUGUUACUAUUAAUAAUAUUCUCCAACCAUUUUCUUUUCUUUUUUUUAUUAAAAAAAAAAAUCCGCCCUUUUACUUUUAUUUUACUUUUUCUUUUUACUAGGAAAAUUGUGUACUUAUUUAAUCUUUUUACUAUUACAUUACAAAAAUAUUCGUAAGCUUGUAAAAGAUUUUACGGCAUUCACGGAUCAAAGGCCGAGCCAAUAAUAUAUGUGUUAAAAUUUAUUGAAUCCUGCUUUUGAUGUAUAGUAGUUGAACUUCAAUUCGUAAUGAAGUAAAUUUAAAAAAAAAAAAGAGAGAGAGAGAGAAAAGAAAAUCUGAUCCUACGCUAAAGGUGAAAGAAACUCCUCAAUCUUGUUAAAUAUUAAUUGAGGCCCCUGGUGGGCCAAAAAGUUGUAAGCAAUCUCCCAUUCAGUUUAGUCAUGUUCAAUAUUUUGAAUCCAAUGGCUUUGAGGUGGUGCCACGUUUGAAGACUUGAAAAUCUAUUAAUAGUCUAAGGCCGAUGGGCUUUACUUUAUAAAAAAAAAAAAGGAAAAAAAUCUAACUGCCAUAAUUAUUUAUUUUAAGAAAGUAAACCGAGUGACUCCUUGGAAAGAAAACUAACGAAGAAACGAAUCGUUGGUCAAGGAAAUUUUAACUUUAGGGGAAAAAAAAAAGUAUUUGUACAUCUAUUUUAAAUUUUGUCCAAAGUUAUUAUUGUUGGAAUAAUCUCAUGCAAUCUUCUGAAAUCACAAUCUCUCUCUCUCUCUCACACAUAUAUAUAUAUAGUCAUUUUUUAGCGAAGAUAUUUAUAUUUUAAUUAUAAAUGGUAGAAAUCUUUAUAGAUUUUGAGUCCCAUAGAGGUCCACCCAAAAGGGAGUUGUGAAUAAAUUUUACGGAAUAAGGUGGAGAAUAAAGGAAAAAUAAUUCUCAAAUUUUUAAUGGAAUGAAAUUUUGUUUUGUACUUUCCACCCUACCCCACACCAAUCUCAUUAUAUAUGAAUUUUUUUAAAAUUUUUAUUCAAUAAUUUUUGUUUUAUCAAUUAUAAUAUUGGUUAAUAAAAUUUUAUUUUUAUUUUUACCUAAUAUAAAUGAGUUAUAACUAAAAGAAAACCAUACAUUAUAAUUUUUAUUCAACCCUAAAAUAUUAUUACGUUUUAUUUUUUCUCUUAUGAUGGUACUCUCUUCAAACAUUUUUUUAGCUUUGGUAUCAUUUCAAGAUAUCGUUUCAAUCUUUUAGGGAUUUUUUAAAAAUUAUUUAAAUACGUUAUAAUAUGAUAAUGAUUUCAUUUAAGUCUUUAAUUUUUUAAUUACCGAAAUCAUUUAUCCAUAUCUACUAUAAAAUAAGCAAACAAGAAAUGGAGUGAGAAUGAAGAAAUCAUUCACCACAUGAUGAUUUCUCAUCUCUAUCCCACUAAAUUUAUUAGAGGAUAGAGUGAGGAAUGAAGACAAAACUUUUAAAGAAAUUUAGAAUAGAUGGGCCUCCUUGCCCCCACCCCACCCACUCCAUUGCUAUCUCUAAUUUUAAUAAAGUGACAAUGUCACUAAAAUAUAUAAAAAAAUUUUAUAGGUUUCAAUAUAUUAGAUAAUGUAUUUUUUGUCUAUUAAUAUCUUGAAAUCGAUGAUUUUUUAUAUUUUCGUGACAUCUUUACUUUAAUAAAAUAAUGAUGUCCUUACCAGUGAAAGACUAUGUAUAGUCCUCUUCUAGUGCGGGCGCCUGACGCCUCAUUUUUUAUUUUUAUUUUUUAUACAGGCACAUUUUGAAGUUAAGCCGUGCGAUUUAAUAGAGUCAUAUUUUAAUACUGUUAAACUACACAAUCUUAUAGUGUACUAAAAAAUAACUCAAUUAAAUCACAUAACUAAACCUGUUCGUAUUAAAAAAAAAGAGGAUACUUGCAUCUAAUAGAUAUAUAAUUAUUCUGAAGUGUGGAUGCUCGUAUUUUUUUUAAUAUGGAUACACUUUUAAACCGUGCAGUUUAAAAAAUUUAAUUAUUCAAUGAAUUAUAAAAUUGUGCGGUUUUAAAGUGUGUCCGCAUAAAAAAAAUACGGGCGCCCGUAUUAGAGAAUGACUAUAUAUAUAUAUAUAUAUAUCAAACAUGGAUAAAACUUGUGAAUUUUUUGGCAAGAAUCUAGAAGAAAAUGGCAACUAGUGUUGUUAUUUUAUGUUCAUUUGGAAACAGAAGAUUAAGUAGAGUUUGGUACAUGCAAAAUAAUAAUAAUAAUAAUAAUAAUAAUAAUGAUGAUGAUGAUAAUAAUUGAGUGGCAAAAUCAUGAGAUAGAUAAGAACCCGGCACUAGUAGUGGUCCCUCAAUACAACUGUCCUUAGAGUAUGCCAUGUGGUGGUUUCUCAUCUUAUCAAACCCAAAAUCUAAAAGGACUUGGUAUUGUUGAAGAUAAGAUGCAUCCCUUUCGGUAGGAGACCCCAUAUACCAUAUAGUUUUAGUGUAACGAUUCCUUCGGUUUAAACUAAAAACAUUUAUUGCCUCCUAAUUUUGGCCUUUUAGGCCAUUUUGAAGCCGACAUUUAUAAUAUUAAAAUAUUUUCAAAUAUUUAUUGUCAUUGCUUAGAAAUUAAUUUUAUUUUACAAGAUGAAAUAUUUAUUAUAUUUUUAUUAUUUUUAUUAUUUUUAUUAAAAUUAUUAUUUAAAAUGUACAAAUAUUAGAUAUUAUUAAUUUUUAUUUAAUUGUUUCAUACCCAAAGUUUACCUCAAAAAUCUCAACCCCAAAUUACCAAAACAUAAAACGAAAAACAAAAGGCCAUAAUUCUUUCAUAUUUUUUAUAUAGAUAUAAUAACGUCUGGUUCCAAUUGAACAAGCUGCAGAAGGACAAAUUCAAACGUGAUUGGCGUUAGACGAGCUGCUUGCGAAGGUGAACUUUGACCUUCUCAAAGAGAGAAAACACGUCAAUGUCUAAAAAUAGACCGGCCGAGGUAAUUGAAAACGAUUUGUAAAUAGAAUAGAAUAGAAUAUUAAAACACAAAAUAUGGGAAUUUUUUUUCCGGGAAAAUUGUUCUCUCCACCAGCUAAAUUCCAGUUCGUUUUCAAUUUUUAAUUUUUAAUACGAUUGCUUGUUUCUAAAAAAUUGACGACACAAAAAGUCUUUAGAAAAGCGUGUUGUAUUAAUAUUUAAAAAAAAAUUAUUUCAGAUACAACUUUACACAUAAAAAAAAAAAUGGAUAUUUGAGUGGUGAACCUUAGAAGCUUCCCUUACAAAAUUUGAAAAUGAUAUUAAAAGCUCAAAACGGACAAUUACGGUUCAAAUUAUAUCCCAAAAAAAUUAUAUACUUAAUCAUUUCGAGCUUUGUUCUUAAGUCAUGUCAAAUUCGUAGGUAAAAAAAAGAAAAAAAGAAAAAAAAAAAAAAAAAAAAAAAAGAAAAGGAAAGAGUCUGUGUUUGUUGACUCUAAAGCAUAAUACUGUCGGCACGUGAGAACAAAAAAAACUUCACCUACUCGCGCCAAAAGUUAUAUUCACCAUUAACGCAUAUUUAGUGAACCUUGUAACCGACAGGGGAAAAAGAAAAUUUUAAAAAAAGGCCAACUCAAUUACCUAUUUGCUUGCUUAACCAUAAAAAGAAAAAAGAAUAGAUGCCAAUGCUCAGUUAAGUCUUGUGAAUCAAGUUUAACUUUCUUUUUUUCUUUUUCUUUUUCCCCGUUUCUCCCUCUCCUCUUCAUACGAACAUGCUGUAAAUAAAAUGUGCUUACUAUUAGGGAAAGAAUCUCAAAUGAUUGGGUAUUAUUUAGCAAUGAUUAUCAAUAAUAAGUAUCAAAAUCAAUAAUACAAAAGAAAGAAACAAACUACACAUAUGGCGAAGGGGAGACAACAAAAUUAGAGAUAAGUGAUGGAGGGGAGCACUAAACAUAUCGGUUUAGCCAAGUGUCGUAGGGUUUGAGUUGGUUAUCUUUUGCCAACAAAAUCACGGGGAAACAUUUGGUCCCGGAUUCGACCCCCUUAUGGCCAUCUCAUGACAGCCUAGAUAGAAUACAGAUUCUUUUCUGUUGUCCAACUCCCUUUGCAUCUUCAAACGUAAAGUGUGUCACAAGAAUAACUUACCUUACUCGGAGCGAUAAGGCACUUUUGAGGUGUCUUUACAUAAAAGAGCUGACUUUGUAUUGGUCACACCGCAAAAAUGCAUUAGAAAAAUUCCCAUGAAAAGAGUUGAAACCUGAUAUAGGAAUGGAAAAGGAAAAGGAAAAGGAAAAGGAAAUAUGCUUUGCUGAGAUUGUUAGCAGCUACUGCGGCAAUGUGUUUGUUGGUCCCACCAGGCAGUAAGAUUGGCAAAAUAUUUUCAGCGUGGAUGUCGGAAGAGGAAAUUCAACUGGUUAAAGGAUGGACCCCACUUCCUAAAUUCUGGGCCAGCCUGCUAAACAUGAUGGAUGGACCGGUCAUUAUAAUAGAGUCUUUUAAUAUAUCGAGAAACAAAUCAGCGGCGGAUCUCAUCAGGAGGCUCCACUUACAUUAAAAAACUCGCCACAAAAUAGACCUGAUACCAACCAAUGUGUAAAUGCAGUAGAGCUUUUAAGUUUGGCCAAUUUCACGAUAACACAAGCGUAGCAUUGGCGCAAUGGUGGUGCUAGUCCUUCAUGCCAAGGUGCAACGCGAUAUUGACCAUUCGAAAGCACCAAGAAACUGCCGACAGCCACCGCAAUUACUUUCAUUUUUAGGGCUAUUUAUAUAUAUAUAUAUCAACCAGAAACAUGAGAUUAGGAAUUUCGCAUUUUCCAUGAAACAAUUCAGUUACUGAUUGCUGUUGAAAGUGAAAUAUUUGUCGCGGCAACCAAAUAAAGUUUAUAUUUAAAUGAAAGUGUCUAAGAAAGGGGGCUUUCGUUAAAAUAUGUGCGUGACAGCUAGAGCUAGCUGUCUUGAUGGGAACAAGUGAUGCGGCACAGAUUUGCCAUCUCAGCCAAAGAAAAAAAAAAGCCACUUUCCAUACUUUAAUUUUAAUAUUGUCUUUGGUAUUUGGUAAUUGGUAAUUCGAAAUUGAAAAUAGCUUAAAUUUGAAUGAAAAAUAAAAAUUAAAAUAAGAAUAAGGUAUAAGAAUUUAAAUAAAUUGUUUAUUUAGUUGGAUAAAUUAUAAUUAGAAUGAAUUAUAUUAUUAUUGAUGUGUUUAUUUUUAUCUUAGAAUCAGAAUGAAUUGUGAUAAGUAACUAAAAUAUCUUUUUUAUUAAUGAUUGUAUUUAGUAUUAUUUGUAUCUGUUAUAAUCUUAACAAUAAUAAGAAUAAAAGUAAUAAUAAAACUUAAAAUCAUAAUAAUUAUAAUAAUGACCAAAUAUUAAUUAAAAUAAUAAAUUUAAUAAUAAUGAUGAUGACAACGAUGAACUCAUGAAGAUGACAAUAAUAAUAAUAAUAAUGACAAUAUUAAUAAUAAAAAAAUAUUAUUACGAUUAAUUGUUAAAGGACUUAUUUACAAAUAAUACAAAAUUUCUGGGUAUUUUCAUCCAGGGACCAAAAUGUAAAAAUGACAUUAACUUGAUUGAGAACAAUUUGGGAUUAAGAAAAUUUAAUGAGGGUAAAAUGGGUAAUUUUGGGAAUCAGAUUCUGAUUAAUAAUCCUCCAUUGCCAAUCAGAAAUAUGAGAAUAAUUUCCAAGUUUCUGGGCCUGGCACUAUUUUGAACACGUCAUUAAUUCUGAUUUCAAAAUUCUCAUUUCCAUGGUAAGUAAACACACGUAAAUACUAAACUAGUUAUAGGCUGAUAUUUAAAUAACAAUGACAGGAGAAAAGCAUUGCUCUAGUUCUGUACUGAAUGUACAGAAUUUGCAAAAUCAAAGAAACAUUUCACUGCUAGGAAAAGAAUACCUUAAAAAGAGAGUAAAACAUGCUAGACCAAGAAUAUAAAGAUAAAUUGUGGGUUAUGGCUUUUCAAAGCAUGGCACUGAGUAUUGGUAACCCUGUUGAGUUCAUACUUCUGAUGAACAUACACAGCAAAUGGAAUCAGCUUCCCCAUCAACAAACAACCUAUUUAGCAGUAACUCCCCAUUUUAUCUAUUUAGCAGUAACUCCUGGAUCAUAUAGAUAGGAUAUAAAAUGUGGUUAAGCAACCUCUCAUUAUAACUGGAAAUGAUGAUAUAUAAUCUGUAACACAAGUAACCGUAAGUCAGGAAAUAAGCAAGAGUAAAUUCAGACAUUUGUAAUAUACUCUAAUGCUUCCUCAAUGGCUUUAAGACAGUUUCUCUUUAAUCCUCGGCUAAAAAUUUCUAAUUCCAAUCGGUUAUAGGGCAACUGCAAGCAACUGGGUAGUGUCUUCUACAAGGAAUCGCAGCUCAUAGGAAUUGACUCCCUGGUUUUAUUGGCACAAAUCAACCACACGAUGAACAUUCAGCUUUAAUAAAAGCAAGUCAGUAAUUUCCCUCCCCUACUAACACAACCAGAAGCUGCUAUUUAGAAACAAGUGAAUCAAUUGUGAACCAUCCUGAGUGGACCCAAGCAGCAUCGUGAUAAAUACACUAUUCGGCACUUUCAUAAUUGCCAAGUAUUUCGUUCUUAAUGUGAUAACAAUUAUCUCAAUUCCAAUUAAGUACGGAAUUUGUAAGCUCCGAAGAUGAUUCAAGUUUCUAGCUAUCCAAGAGGAUAGUACAAAUGCGCAUUCCGCAAAGUAUAUGAGCUUUGACAAAGGAAGACUAUUCAACAAAUUGGUUUAAAAGCACCAGUUUAUGGACAUAAAAGCAACUGAUUAGCAGUUUGGACCACAAGAUAAAUAUCAAUUUCAGUGGUGCUUCCUGCUGUUGAUUUGAAUGCUACUGGACACAAGGUUGGUGUUGGAUGUCUCAGCCUCAUUGAAGUAUUAUUAGUCCGUAGGAGGAUAAGUAACUCCAGGAAAAAUCCCAAGCAAUUCACAUACCAUUGAAAAGGAUACACGUUAUAUAUAUGCUUACAUGACUUUUACAUGUAAAUUUAUUAUUGUAAAUUCUUGAACUACAAAUCAAGAAUUGCUACAUGCUUUCAACAUCAGAAAACUACAAUAGCUUUCAACAAGCAUUGUCAUUACUAGGCCACAAUCAUGAAGUUGACCAUUGUAGCACAAACCAUAUAUAUAUAUAUCAGCUUCACUUACAGUAGAUGGAUAUUGUAUUAGUAAAUAUCAGGCAUAUAAAAACUAGUUACUGCUUCCUUUCGCCUAUCUAUGGAACACUGAUCUCAGGCUAUCUUAGUAGAAUUAUGUAAACACGCAGAGUGAGUAAAUCAAUCAGAUUAAGGGAACUUAAUAACCCUUGGUAAAUAAAAUUCAGAAAAUCUACAGCCAAAAUUACUGGAACCACACAGGGGAUACUUUAAUUUCCUCUCAAAAUUUUACAUACUAUAGGCCAUUUCUUCAAAUUGCUGCAAUUUGGGUCUUUAAAACAGCUUCACUUUUCAGUUUUUUAUUUUUAUUUUUUUAAAAUAAUGAAAGUAUCAUUUUCAUUCAUUAAACAAAGAUAAAACAUUGCCUACUUCUGCUGGUAUAGGGUCCAGCCAUACAUCAGUUUUAUUGUUUAUUACAGCAAAUUUGGCUAAAGAAUGAGCCUGGACAUUAUACAAUCUUGGGAUCUGUUGAAAUUUAACUUUCUGUGUUUUAGAUUGAAGAGAUUACCCAAAAAAUUUCAGUUCUAUUCGCUUUCUUGUUCUUGACCAACUCAGCUUCACUUUUCAGUUUCUGCACAAAGAAAAUGCCAAAACACGUCAAAAUCACCACACUAGAAAAUAAUAGCUGAUUCAGAUUGUCAUAAUUACGAGUAUAUAAAAAUUCACCUCUCCGCCUAGAACUGGAGGCAUUCUCCGAAUUUCCUAAUCACUAGAAAAUAGUUUGUUAACUCUUAAGAGUGAACAGAGUGAGAGGCAACCAAUCAAGUCAAUUCUACAUCAUUUGCAUUCACAAUUCUCAUACAAUUUUUAACUGCACCAACCAUUCAAGACUUUACAAAAUUCAUUUUGUGUAACACACAACCAGCAGGUGAUUUUAUUGAUAUGGUUUCAAGUUCCUUCGCUAUAAUAAAAUUUAAAAUUUACAGUGUACCUUUCUAAAAAGAAAAAAAAAAUUACCAUUCUUCUUGACGAAUAUUAUUGAGAAGAUCGAAUGAAGUUUUAAUCUUGCUUGUGAGUUGGGACCUCGUACUCUCCAAAACGAACAACGGUGUGAGUGUCAAGCCGUCUAGACUCUAGAGUGAGCGAGUGGCAACCCUACAUCUCACAUUAAAAAAUAAAGAGUGAUGAUACAGCCACAAACUCUUGUACAAAUUUAUUUUGUACAAACUGACGUGUCAUUAAUUCAUUAGUUGAAUGAAAAUAUAAAAUAAUAAAAAUAAAUCAUGUGGGCCAAGUAAUAUUUAAUUCAACUAAUCUUAUCGUGCCAUAUGAGUUUGUACAAAAUAAAUUUGUACAAGAGUUUGUGGCUCUAUCAUUACUCAAAAAUAAAAGCUAAUAAACGGAUAAGAUGUUGCUGGCACAUCAAAGCGUUUGAAAGGAUGACCUGACGUAAUAGGUUUCAUGAUUUAUAUAUUUUCCAAAGAUCAGCUAUUUUUGGAGCUUGUACUUGGUGGAGAAAAUAAUUAUCUACACUAUAUAUAGGUUUCAUGUCACAAAAAUUAUGGUAUUUUAUUCAUUGUUGCUGGCUAACAAGCCAAAAUUUACUAAUUUCAUAUUUUCUCUUUGAAAAAAGAGAAAAUCACGUUACAUGAGAUUUAGACUUAAAUUUUGAUAAGGUUGUCCCAUUAACUAAUGGAACUAGGCCUUGGUCUCAACCUAUCCCCCAAAGUAUCCUCGUCAAAUUCUUGAUUAUUAUCACACACCAAAAUUUACAAAUAUUUAGUCCAACUACUUGUCUUUCAAGCAGAAAUGUCCGACAAGUCGUUCUGGUGUUUCUCCUUUUGAAGUGAAAACCGACAUGCAUCAAUUGCAUCUUCAAUUGACAAGAAAACCGAAUCCUUCCCAAUGACGUCGAUGAACUUUGACAGUAUCAUUUUAUCCAUAACCCCAAUCCUGGGAUUUAUUAAUUUCAUCUGCAAAAAAAAAAAAAAAAAAAACAGAAAGUUAUCAACUCGGUUUUUUUUUUAAUUAUUUCAAUAAAAUUAGCAAAGAUUGAUACCACUUAAUUAUUAGAGGUUACCUUCAUAGAUUUUGCUUCCAAAAUUCUGAGUAUUUCUCUAAAUGCGGCAAUUCCUGUCAUGUCUAUUGUUGAAACUCCUACGCAAAAUAAUAAAAUCAUAUGAGCCAAUUGAAUUACUCUAUAAAUAAAAACUAACAGUCACAUUCUACCUGACAAAUCUAGUAAAACAUGCUCAAUAACAUCCGGCUUGGAAUUUGAUAAGGCCUGUUCAUCUCGGAUCCAUCUCAAAACCCUAUUUACAAUUCAUUUGCUUUAGAUUUUGCUCAAAAUAUUCAUUUUCACAUUGGAAAGAUUGAAAAAAAAAAAAAAAUUUAGUACCUUUCUCUAAUGUAAUUGCAAUUUGCAAAGUAAAUAGGGGAACCGAGUUGCAGAAUUAGGAUUCCUGGGAACCCUUGUGCAUGCUGAUACUGCUCUGUAUCCAGGUACAGAUUCGAGUCUGAGAUUUUUCCAAGCUUGCAAGUAGCAGGCCUUGCCACAUAUAUAAGCGUCCGAAGUAAAGCAAGCCCCACCUGUAUUAACAACUGAGAAUUUAAUAUCGAAACUAAUUAAAAAUAUGUAAUUUUUGUUUCAUAUGAAUUAUAUAAUAUCGAAACUAAUUAAAAAUUCUUACGGAGAGCAUGAGGCCAAUGUCCAUGCUUAUGAAGGCGACCCCAAGGAAAGCUGCCAUGCAAAUGCUAAAAUCUAGCUUAUCAACUUUGAAGAGGAGAAUAGCCUCUUCAUAGUUAAUAAGCCCGAACAUGGCGGACAUGAUGAUGGCUGAUAGAGCUACAAGAGGUGUGUAACUGAAGAGAGGAGCCAAGAACAAGAGUACAAGCAUCAUGCAAAAUGACAUUACAACAUUUGACAUGGCAGUUUUGCACCC